rnacentral:rRNA from 1 species
GACGGGGGGGGCAAGUGUUCUUCGGAAUGACUGGGCGUAAAGGGCACGUAGGCGGCUCAUGAAGGCUGUGGUGAAAGUCCGGGGCUCAACCUCGGAUCGGCCGUGGCGACUCGUGGGCUGGAGCACUGUAGAGGCGGGUGGAAUUCCGGGUGUAGCGGUGGAAUGCGUAGAGAUCCGGAAGAACACCAGUGGCGAAGGCGGCCCGCUGGGCAGUGGCUGACGCUGAGGCGCGACAGCGUGGGGAGCAAACAGG